UAUAGAGCUUUAAUAAGUUAUCAAACGAAAUUAAUAAGUAAUAUUUUAAUUGACACCUUAUUUUUGUUGGGGCGACAAAGAGAAUUAAAUAACACUCUUUUUUUAAAAAUAUUUAUAAAUAAAUUAUUGAUCCUUAAAGAGAGAUUAAAGACUAAGUUACCUUA
rnacentral:rRNA from 1 species